AAGGUGGCCUGUGAGGGUUGCUGGAGGUAUCAGAAGUGCGAAUGCUGACAUAAGUAACGAUAAAGCGGGUGAAAAGCCCGCUCGCCGGAAGACCAAGGGUUCCUGUCCAACGUUAAUCGGGGCAGGGUGAGUCGACCCCUAAGGCGAGGCCGAAAGGCGUAGUCGAUGGGAAACGGGUUAAUAUUCCCGUACUUGGUGUUACUGCGAAGGGGGGACGGAGAAGGCUAUGUUGGCCGGGCGACGGUUGUCCCGGUUUAAGCGUGUAGGCUGGUUUUCCAGGCAAAUCCGGAAAAUCAAGGCUGAGGCGUGACGACGAGGCACUACGGUGCUGAAGCAACAAAUGCCCUGCUUCCAGGAAAAGCCUCUAAGCAUCAGGUAACACGAAAUCGUACCCCAAACCGACACAGGUGGUCAGGUAGAGAAUACCAAGGCGCUUGAGAGAACUCGGGUGAAGGAACUAGGCAAAAUGGUGCCGUAACUUCGGGAGAAGGCACGCUGACACGUAGGUGAAGUGAUUUACUCAUGGAGCUGAAGUCAGUCGAAGAUACCAGCUGGCUGCAACUGUUUAUUAAAAACACAGCACUGUGCAAACACGAAAGUGGACGUAUACGGUGUGACGCCUGCCCGGUGCCGGAAGGUUAAUUGAUGGGGUCAGCGCAAGCGAAGCUCCUGAUCGAAGCCCCGGUAAACGGCGGCCGUAACUAUAACGGUCCUAAGGUAGCGAAAUUCCUUGUCGGGUAAGUUCCGACCUGCACGAAUGGCGUAAUGAUGGCCAGGCUGUCUCCACCCGAGACUCAGUGAAAUUGAACUCGCUGUGAAGAUGCAGUGUACCCGCGGCAAGACGGAAAGACCCCGUGAACCUUUACUAUAGCUUGACACUGAACAUUGAGCCUUGAUGUGUAG
rnacentral:rRNA from 1 species